rnacentral:rRNA from 1 species
UACGGGGGGGGCAAGCGUUGUUCGGAAUUACUGGGCGUAAAGGGCUCGUAGGCGGCCAACUAAGUCAGACGUGAAAUCCCUCGGCUUAACCGGGGAACUGCAUCUGAUACUGGAUGGCUUGAGUUCGGGAGAGGGAUGCGGAAUUCCAGGUGUAGCGGUGAAAUGCGCAGAUAUCAGGAGGAACACCGGUGGCGAAGGCGGGUCUCUGGGCCGAUACUGACGCUGAGGAGCGAAAGCGUGGGGAGCGAACAGG